rnacentral:rRNA from 1 species
GACGAACGCUGGCGGCGUGCUUAACACAUGCAAGUCGAAUGAAGAGCGAUGGAAGCUUGCUUCUCUCAAUCUUAGUGGCGAACGGGUGAGUAACGCGUAAUCAACCUGCCCUUCAGAGGGGGACAACAGUUGGAAACGACUGCUAAUACCGCAUACGAUCUAAUCUCGGCAUCGAGGAUAGAUGAAAGGUGGCCUCUACAUGUAAGCUAUCACUGAAGGAGGGGAUUGCGUCUGAUUAGCUAGUUGGAGGGGUAACGGCCCACCAAGGCGAUGAUCAGUAGCCGGUCUGAGAGGAUGAACGGCCACAUUGGGACUGAGACACGGCCCAGACUCCUACGGGAGGCAGCAGUGGGGAAUCUUCCGCAAUGGACGAAAGUCUGACGGAGCAACGCCGCGUGAGUGAUGACGGCCUUCGGGUUGUAAAGCUCUGUUAAUCGGGACGAAAGGCCUUCUUGCGAAUAGUGAGAAGGAUUGACGGUACCGGAAUAGAAAGCCACGGCUAACUACGUG